UCCGGGCUCUGUGUAAAUGUGUCAUCAAAAAGGCAUUCCUCGAUGCCCUAAAAGAAGAAUAUAAGUUAAUAAAGGCAGGGGUUGAUCUGCUUGAUUUAUUAUUCUAUCUCUAGCAAAAGUACCAGGCAUAUAGUGGGCAUUCGGUCUAUACUUGUUGAACAAAUGAUUGAAUAAAAAAUGGAUUAACGGGAUCCCUGGGUGGCUCAGCAGUUUGGCGCCUGCCUUUGGCCCAGGGCGCGAUCCUGGAGUCCCGGGAUCGGGUCCCACAUCAGGUUCCCAGGAUGGAGCCUGCUUCUCCCUCCUCCUGUGUCUCUGCCUCUCUCUCUCUAUGUCUAUCAUAAAUAAAUAAAUAAAUCUUUAAAAGAAUGGAUUAAGGAAAUACGCAUUAAUGUCCAAUAUGUGUCCUAAACAUACGACUAGGAAUUGAAAGUAUAGGGAAGGAUGAAUGCUUACCUCAGGAAUUGAUGGGUGAGAUUAUACCAGAGGGAAAGAACACGCUUCUGGGGUAAGCAGCAAAGAGGAGCUUAUAAGGGGGCCUGGGGAGAAAUUGCUAGAGAGGCAGGAGGUAAACCCGGAGAAGGUUGUCAUAGAACAUGAGAAAAGGAUUCUAAAACAGAGGGAAUUGUCAAGAGUAACAGUGCUACUGAAAGACAGAGAGAAGAAAAUGCAAAGAAUCCAUUGCAUGUAGCAAAAACCUUGGGGUUCCUAGCAAGUGUGAUAGUAUUACCUCCCCCCAAAGUCUUCGUACUCCCUCAAGUUCACAGUGCUCAUCAAUCAGAACACAAGCUGCCCGACUUCUCAGUUACCUAGCAGUCUAGACCGUACGCAGCCUGGGGGGUUGAGGAAGGGAUUCCUACGGGCCAGCCAUGGUGCUAAAUAUUCUGUAUAUACUCAUAUGCUUGACUUUCCCAGCAACCCAGUGAGACACAUAUGAUACCCCAUUUUACAUAUGCAGAAAUUGAGGUCCCCAGAGGCUAAACUAACCCAAGAUCUUGCAACUACUAAGGAACAAAGUGGAUACUGAAACACGGUUCUUUUGGACUCGACGAGCAAAAUGUGCAUGUCGGGAGUGUUUCUCCUGUGCUGCUGGGUCAUCUGGAAGUCCCGUACUGAGGUGUCCACAUUUCUUCAGACAGCUGUUCUGUGAACUAGAAGAAUGGUUUCAUCUUUGCAAAUGUCACUUUCCUCCUAAGGAUAAACAUAAAAGAAGGUAGUUCUGACUC
rnacentral:lncRNA from 1 species